UCUCUGUGCCCCGGAGCUGGAUUAUCCAGGGGGGAGACCGUUUGUUUGCACAGUUGAAGCAUAUAUAGGAAGCGAUGGAAACAUGUAAACAACUGGGGAAAAUGUGUUCCUGAUGGAUUAGGAGUAAAAGUCCUGAAUCAGGAAUUAUGUGGGACAGGACACCACCAACGGACCAAAGAAUUACAGGAUCGUGAGAGAUUCCUUGUGAACCCGAGGGCAGCUGCAUCAGUGAAGACCACACUCAAGUGUAGGCUAGGACUACAGGCAUGUGCCACCACAUGCAGAUGAAGACCCCUUUUUACAUUAUGGAUUUUCUUCAAGAGUAUUUUCCAGAAAUGUGUGCACAAUGGGCCUGGAGAGAUGACUCAAUAGACAAUGUGUCUGCCACACGUGCAUGAGGACCUGAGUUCAGAUCUCCAGCACACACAGACAUUUGUGGUAGUGUAUGUCAUUGACCCCAGUACAGCCAUAUUCGUCAACAAGCCUUUGCAGUUUUCGGUGAUCUACCCCAACCUGCCCACUGAAGAGCCAGAAUGGAGUUAGAAGGUCCUUGGACACCACAAUGCACAUUUAAGUGGGACAUGACUGUACAACUGAGUAGAUACAAAAAUGGGCUCUGUUUGUUUCUCAAUCUCUCACACACAACUAGCUUUUUAAAGGACAAUAAAAACGAAUAGUUAUGAUACA